GACCUAAAAGUUCGAUCUCGAGAGUUUUGGCAGAGUCCUGAGAGUUUUUACUCUCGGGGACCGGUCCCUGAUAGGAGAGACCGGUCCCCCAGUGAACAGUGCUGCGCAGCCGGCGAGGCAACCGAUCCCUGGCAGUCGAGACCGGUCCCCGAGCGCGUCUGCGCGGGGAGAGACCGGUCCCGCGCAGGGAGAGACCGGUUCCCGAACGUUGGAUUUUCGGGGGCAGGCUGAGAGACCGGUCCCAGGUCGGGGAGACCGGUCCCUCUGGGCGAAAACUGCCCAGACCGGGCUGAUGUAAAUUUGAGUUUUUGAGGGACCUAAGUGGAUUUUGUUGCUUUUAAUGGCCUAUUUGGCCAUUUCACCCUCUUCUCUCCUCAUUUCUUCCCUUCCCACCUAUUCUAGAGAGAGAAGAAGAGAGGGAGAAGAAGAAGAAGAAGAAGAAGAGGAGAAGGAGCUUGCUUGGAGGCUUUGGAGCAUCAUCUUCUUCCCCAUUUUCUCACCUUGGUGGCUUCGAGCUUGCGGUUGGAGCUUUGUGGAGGAUCAAACUUCAACCCUACUUGGUUUUGAGCUUGGAUUGAAGCUCCUCUUGAGGUUGGUAGCAUGUAAUCCCUACUUGAUACAUGUUUUUCUAGGUUUUACUAGAUGAAACCCUAGAUUGGGAUUCUAGGGUUAGAUUUGGGGCUUUUUGAUUUGAGGGCUUUGAAACCUUUUUGAUGGGUUUGGAACCUUUAUAUAGGUUAGAUUGGAAGACCCCUACCUUCCAUUUGAAGAUUAAGAGAGGGUUUUUUCACUUGAGGUGAGUUUUUCCCAACACUAGCUUGAGUUGGUUAAUGAUUGAACUUAGCGUCAUUCGUUUCGACUAGAUGACACUUGUUUUCAUACCUUUAGGGUACUAGGAGUGUGGUGGACGCCUUCGUCGUGGCAAACGAAAGCUUUCGUUGACGACGGUGGGUUUGGCUUCGUGGAAAUUGGGCGAAAUGGUCCCUAUGCUCUUUCUAUUUGUUGUAAAAUAUUUUUAAAUUCAUUUCUAUGCUAAAUGAAAUUUAUAUGAAUUUUAGAGCACUUAAAAUGCAUGCCUUGUGUAUUAUGAAAAUUUCACUAUAUAGUAGAGCUAUAUGAGUAGAAUGCAUGCAUAUGGAAAAAGUGUUUAUUUGCAAGUGGAAAAUACAUCACUUAUGAGGAUCAUGACUUGGAAUAUGUACUUUGGAA
rnacentral:lncRNA from 1 species